rnacentral:rRNA from 1 species
GCAGUCGUACGAGUUCUCGUUGAUGAUCGGUGCUUGCACCGAGAUUCAACAUGGAACGAGUGGCGGACGGGUGAGUAACACGUGGGUAACCUGCCCUUAAGUGGGGGAUAACAUUUGGAAACAGAUGCUAAUACCGCAUAGAUCCAAGAACCGCAUGGUUCUUGGCUGAAAGAUGGCGUAAGCUAUCGCUUUUGGAUGGACCCGCGGCGUAUUAGCUAGUUGGUGAGGUAAUGGCUCACCAAGGCGAUGAUACGUAGCCGAACUGAGAGGUUGAUCGGCCACAUUGGGACUGAGACACGGCCCAAACUCCUACGGGAGGCAGCAGUAGGGAAUCUUCCACAAUGGACGCAAGUCUGAUGGAGCAACGCCGCGUGAGUGAAGAAGGCUUUCGGGUCGUAAAACUCUGUUGUUGGAGAAGAAUGGUCGGCAGAGUAACUGUUGUCGGCGUGACGGUAUCCAACCAGAAAGCCACGGCUAACUACGUGCCAGCAGCCGCGGUAAUACGUAGGUGGCAAGCGUUAUCCGGAUUUAUUGGGCGUAAAGCGAGCGCAGGCGGUUUUUUAAGUCUGAUGUGAAAGCCCUCGGCUUAACCGAGGAAGCGCAUCGGAAACUGGGAAACUUGAGUGCAGAAGAGGACAGUGGAACUCCAUGUGUAGCGGUGAAAUGCGUAGAUAUAUGGAAGAACACCAGUGGCGAAGGCGGCUGUCUGGUCUGUAACUGACGCUGAGGCUCGAAAGCAUGGGUAGCGAACAGGAUUAGAUACCCUGGUAGUCCAUGCCGUAAACGAUGAAUGCUAGGUGUUGGAGGGUUUCCGCCCUUCAGUGCCGCAGCUAACGCAUUAAGCAUUCCGCCUGGGGAGUACGACCGCAAGGUUGAAACUCAAAGGAAUUGACGGGGGCCCGCACAAGCGGUGGAGCAU